AUUGAACGCUGGCGGCAGGCUUAACACAUGCAAGUCGAGCGGAGAUGAGGUGCUUGCACCUUAUCUUAGCGGCGGACGGGUGAGUAAUGCUUAGGAAUCUGCCUAUUAGUGGGGGACAACAUUCCGAAAGGAAUGCUAAUACCGCAUACGUCCUACGGGAGAAAGCAGGGGAUCUUCGGACCUUGCGCUAAUAGAUGAGCCUAAGUCGGAUUAGCUAGUUGGUGGGGUAAAGGCCUACCAAGGCGACGAUCUGUAGCGGGUCUGAGAGGAUGAUCCGCAACACUGGGACUGAGACACGGCCCAGACGCCUACGGGAGGCAGCAGUGGGGAAUAUUGGACAAUGGGGGAAACCCUGAUCCAGCCAUGCCGCGUGUGUGAAGAAGGCCUUAUGGUUGUAAAGCACUUUAAGCGAGGAGGAGGCUACUGAGACUAAUACUCUUGGAUAGUGGACGUUACUCGCAGAAUAAGCACCGGCUAACUCUGUGCCAGCCGCCGCCGUAAUAC
rnacentral:rRNA from 1 species